rnacentral:piRNA from 1 species
AGGAGACAGCGUUUGAUUAAGGUUUGCCUUU